GCAGCCCGCGUCCUCCGAGCGUUUCGCUUCUCCUUAGCAAAAACGUGAAGUGUAAAAUUAGAUUUUACACGUGCUGGUAGAAAGCAAAGUGCGUGCAGAGUAAGGGGAGAAGUAAAUAACCCAAAAUUCAGUGGUGGUUAAACUGCACAACGCUGCUGCGUCUGUGGGAAUGGGUUGCCAAAACGAGCGGAGGGACGCGGGCCUUGAGUUUUCUGUGACGUGGGCACGGGGCAAACUGCAGGAGAGGAACGUGAAAGAUGAAAUACGGCCAACACUGCUCCCCAGCCCAGCUGCCUGGAGCACCUGACUGCGGAGUUGCACAUGUGCUUAACUUUAUUGAUUAAGCCAAAGAGAGACACAGCUCAUUACUUCAGAAACCACAUUUUCAUCACCAAUUUGUGGUCUCUCUGCAGGAAGGCGCAAGGCGAAGCAGGCAACAAUCUGCUUUAACCUUUCUUUAGACAAGAAACAAAAUCUUGUUUUUCUCAGUAACUCCUACUGAGCUACUUGUCUGAGGCAGAGCAAAGGAGACCAGAACUACGGGUCCAUGUGAGAAAGCCUGACAGCAGAAAGUUGGUGGACAUGAAGUGUGAGCAUUAGAGAGGAAAAGUGUGGCAUAUGUGGAUGGGCUCUUGUGGACUGGUUGCAUGAGUCAACACAAGACUGCCUACCUGAGAGUGUGGGACAGUAAAUGAAAGGGGAUUGCUGGGAAACAGAGAACAGGUAGAGCUCUACAAGCACACAUCCUGCGUAUCUCUGACAUACGUUAGACAAGACACUUCAAGAAGCCUGGGUAUGAGCUGUGCAGGAUGACUGACAACUGCAGUGUCAUAACAUCAAAACCUGUCCUUUCCUUAUUCUGAGUUCCAGGCAACGGCACUGAUUAUUGCUGUUACUUGGGCCCUUUAGCUACUAUUGCAAAAA